GCAGGCUUAACACAUGCAAGUCGAGGGGCAGCAUGGCCUUAGGUUGCUAAGGCCGAUGGCGACCGGCGCACGGGUGAGUAACACGUAUCCAACCUGCCGUCUACUCUUGGACAGCCUUCUGAAAGGAAGAUUAAUACAAGAUGGCAUCAUGAGUCCGCAUGUUCACAUGAUUAAAGGUAUUCCGGUAGACGAUGGGGAUGCGUUCCAUUAGAUAGUAGGCGGGGUAACGGCCCACCUAGUCUUCGAUGGAUAGGGGUUCUGAGAGGAAGGUCCCCCACAUUGGAACUGAGACACGGUCCAAACUCCUACGGGAGGCAGCAGUGAGGAAUAUUGGUCAAUGGGCGAGAGCCUGAACCAGCCAAGUAGCGUGAAGGAUGACUGCCCUAUGGGUUGUAAACUUCUUUUAUAAAGGAAUAAAGUCGGGUAUGGAUACCCGUUUGCAUGUACUUUAUGAAUAAGGAUCGGCUAACUCCGUGCCAGCAGCCGCGGUAAUACGGAGGCUCCGAGCGUUAUCCGGAUUUAUUGGGUUUAAAGGGAGCGUAGAUGGAUGUUUAAGUCAGUUGUGAAAGUUUGCGGCUCAACCGUAAAAUUGCAGUUGAUACUGGAUAUCUUGAGUGCAGUUGAGGCAGGCGGAAUUCGUGGUGUAGCGGUGAAAUGCUUAAAUAUCACGAAGAACUCCGAUUGCGAAGGCAGCCUGCUAAGCUGCAACUGACAUUGAGGCUCGAAAGUGUGGGUAUCAAACAGGAUUAGAUACCCUGGUAGUCCACACGGUAAACGAUGAAUACUCGCUGUUUGCGAUAUACUGCAAGCGGCCAAGCGAAAGCGUUAAGUAUUCCACCUGGGGAGUACGCCGGCAACGGUGAAACUCAAAGGAAUUGACGGGGGCCCGCACAAGCGGAGGAACAUGUGGUUUAAUUCGAUGAUACGCGAGGAACCUUACCCGGGCUUAAAUUGCAGAUGAAUUACGGUGAAAGCCGUAAGCCGCAAGGCAUCUGUGAAGGUGCUGCAUGGUUGUCGUCAGCUCGUGCCGUGAGGUGUCGGCUUAAGUGCCAUAACGAGCGCAACCCUUGUUGUCAGUUACUAACAGGUUCCGCUGAGGACUCUGACAAGACUGCCAUCGUAAGAUGUGAGGAAGGUGGGGAUGACGUCAAAUCAGCACGGCCCUUACGUCCGGGGCUACACACGUGUUACAAUGGGGGGUACAGAGGGCCGCUACCACGCGAGUGGAUGCCAAUCCCCAAAACCUCUCUCAGUUCGGACUGGAGUCUGCAACCCGACUCCACGAAGCUGGAUUCGCUAGUAAUCGCGCAUCAGCCACGGCGCGGUGAAUACGUUCCCGGGCCUUGUACACACCGCCCGUCAAGCCAUGGGAGCCGGAGGUACCUGAAGUGCGUAACCGCGAGGAGCGCCCUAGGGUAAAACUGGUGACUGGG
rnacentral:rRNA from 1 species